rnacentral:RNase_P_RNA from 1 species
CCAGAUGGCCGGAUGACCGCUUUGGUCCCAGUGAUGGGAUCGGGGAGGAAAGUCCGGGCUCCACGGAAAAACGGUGCCGGAUAACGUCCGGCGGGCGUCAAGCCUAGGGACAGUGCCACAGAGAGCAGACCGCCGUUCUUUCGAGAGCGGUAAGGGUGAAACGGUGCGGUAAGAGCGCACCGCGCUCCCGGCAACGGCGAGCGGCAUGGCAAACCCCACCGGGAGCAAGACCAGAUAGGAGGGCGCGUUCAGGGCAACCUGAACAGGUGUUUUCCGCACCGAUCCUCGGGUAGGUCGCGUGAGGCGUUCGGUAACGAACGUCCCAGAUGAAUGGUCAUCCAUGGGCCGGACGCGCGUGAGUGAUGGUGGUUCGCCACCAUAUCGUGCGCGGCUGCGGCCCAAGACAGAACCCGGCUUACAGGCCGUCUGGCGCU